rnacentral:rRNA from 1 species
UACAUAUGGGGCAAGCGUUGUUCGGAAUUACUGGGCAUAAAGGGUGCGUAGGUGGUCUGUUAAGUCAGGGGUGAAAUCCCGCGGCCCGACCGUGGAACUGCCUUUGAUACUGGCGGACUUGAGUGCGUGAGGGGUAGGGGGAACGAGCAGUGUAGCGGUGAAAUGCGUAGAUAUUGCUCGGAAGGCCAGAGGCGAAGGGGAGCUACUGGAACGUAACUGACACUGAGGCACGAAAGCGUGGGGAGCAAACAGG